rnacentral:pre_miRNA from 14 species
CGUACCGUAGCUACCGCUCAAUUACCCGGACAUGGUCGUACGGUGAAUGUUGUGUAUUGAAUUUCAAUGUUAACUGUAAGACUGUGUCUCGGUGCUUGUUAGCUGAACAUCGGCCGCG